rnacentral:rRNA from 1 species
AGCGAACGCUGGCGGCAGGCUUAACACAUGCAAGUCGAGCGGGCACUUUCGGGUGUCAGCGGCGGACGGGUGAGUAACGCGUGGGAACGUGCCCUCUGGUUCGGAAUAACUCAGGGAAACUUGAGCUAAUACCGGAUACGCCCUUUUGGGGAAAGGCUUGCUGACGGAGGAUCGGCCCGCGUCUGAUUAGCUAGAUGGUGAGGUAACGGCUCACCAAGGCGACGAUCAGUAGCUGGUCUGAGAGGAUGAUCAGCCACACUGGGACUGAGAAACGGCCCAGACUCCUACGGGAGGCAGGAGUGGGGAAUAUUGGACUAUGGGCGCAAGCCUGAUCCAGCCAUGCCGCGUGAGUGAUGAAGGCCUUAGGGUUGUAAAGCUCUUUUAUCCGGGACGAUAAUGACGGUACCGGAGGAAUAAGCCCCGGCUAACUUCGUG